GGGGCCAUAGCUCAAUUGGUAGAGCGCAACACUGGCAGUGUUGAGGUCAGCGGUUCGAUUCCGCUUGGCUCCA
rnacentral:tRNA from 1 species